CAGCAGCAGCCGCGGUAAUACGUAGGGUGCGAGCGUUAAUCGGAAUUACUGGGCGUAAAGCGUGCGCAGGCGGUUCGUUAAGACAGAUGUGAAAUCCCCGGGCUUAACCUGGGAACUGCAUUUGUGACUGACGGGCUAGAGUAUGGCAGAGGGGGGUAGAAUUCCACGUGUAGCAGUGAAAUGCGUAGAGAUGUGGAGGAAUACCGAUGGCGAAGGCAGCCCCCUGGGCCAAUACUGACGCUCAUGCACGAAAGCGUGGGGAGCAAACAGGAUUAGAUACCCCAGUAGUCCCUGUCUCUUAUAA
rnacentral:rRNA from 1 species